rnacentral:rRNA from 1 species
GGCAGCUCUAGUGGUAGCCAUUUUUAUUGGGCCUAAAGCGUUCGUAGCCGGUUUGAUAAAGUCUCUGGUGAAAUCCUAUAGCUUAACUGUGGGACUUGCUGGAGAUACUAUUAGACUUGAGGUCGGGAGAGGUUAGCGGUACUCCCAGGGUAGGGGUGAAAUCCUGUAAUCCUGGGAGGACCACCUGUGGCGAAGGCGGCUAACUGGAACGAACCUGACGGUGAGGGACGAAAGCCAGGGGCGCGAACC